rnacentral:rRNA from 1 species
GACGAACGCUGGCGGCGUGCUUAACACAUGCAAGUCGAGCGGUGAAGCGCCUUCCUUUUUGGUGGGUGUGGAUGAGUGGCGAACGGGUGAGUAACACGUGAGUAACCUGCCCCCUUCUUCUGGAUAACCGCAUGAAAGUGUGGCUAAUACGGGAUAUUCUGGGUCUGUCGCAUGAUGGGUCUGGGAAAGAUAUUGUUUCGGUGGGGGAUGGGCUCGCGGCCUAUCAGCUUGUUGGUGGGGUGAUGGCCUACCAAGGCGGUGACGGGUAGCCGGCCUGAGAGGGUGGACGGUCACACUGGGACUGAGACACGGCCCAGACUCCUACGGGAGGCAGCAGUGGGGAAUAGUGCACAAUGGGCGCAAGCCUGAUGCAGCGACGCCGCGUGAGGGAUGGAGGCCUUCGGGUUGUGAACCUCUUUCGCCAGUGAAGCAGGCCUGCCUCGUUUGUGGGUGGGUUGACGGUAGCUGGAUAAGAAGCGCCGGCUAACUACGUG